rnacentral:RNase_P_RNA from 1 species
GCAGUCGCGGGAACAGUGCCGAAAGGCCGUUUCUGAGGAAAGUCCGAGCUCCCAUGGGCAGAAUAACGGAUAACGUCCGCCGAAGGCAACUUCCGGGAAAGUGCAACAGAAAAAAACAGCAGAUUCGUCUGCAACGGUGAAAAGGUGGGGUAAGAGCCCACCGGGGCGACGGUAACGCCGCCCGUCAGUGUAAACCCUAUUCGGAGCAAUACCGCAUACGGGACAGGGGGAUACCCCCGGUGCGCCCAUCACGUCCCAAAGGUAGCUGGAGAUUUACGGUAACGUAAAUUCGAGAUAGAUGACUGCAUGCCGCUUUGCGGCUUACAGAACUCGGCUUAUAUUCCUGC